GGAAAGCGCCUGUCUCCACUCGGGGAAGUUUUGGCUUGGUGGGAGGCAUUGGACCUGCUUCCUGCCCUCCCAGAUGCACUUUAAGGCCAAACUCCUCCUUUUUCUUAUCUAUGGGGCUGGUAGAGAGCAGGCAGAGGAUGCUCCUGUGGUCCUGGAGGGCUGCAGGACCUUCCCUAGGCUGUGUGGGCUCCGGUUCCUUUGCCUUUCCUGCUUGGAAAAGCCCCAUAGAAAUAGAAAUCCUUCUGGACACAUCUAAGUUGCCCUAAGUUACUCGAACCAUCCUUUUGGGCUUUCAGAGAUUGCACAUGUGCAAUCCCUGGAUCCUGGGGGAGCAUCUCCAGCUCUCCUGGGGGAGCAUCCCUGGAUCCCAUGGGGAGCAUCUCCACUUCUCCCAGGGGUGCAUCCCUGUCUCCCCUGGGGAGCUCAGACUUUUUACUCCCCUUUGCUAGGUUUGUAGAGUCUCUGAACCCUCAUAGAUCUCCCUUAGGUAGCUCUUGAUUUCAUUCCCUCCUAACUCCAUAGUGUUUUCCCUAAGGCUGGAUUUUCUUCUGGACCCACCAGGUCUCUGGUUGCUUGCAACAUCUUUUCCCACUUCUUUAGGAAGAACUUCUUGCCUGUGGAUAGAAAGACUAAGACCAUCCAACCUCAUUUCCAUUUCUUGAAUGUCCAGUAUUCCGAUCUAUAACACACAUUAGGGUGCUCUUUGGUGCUGUUUCAAUGGGAACCAGUGGAACUGCCUUUUUUUUCCCCCCAUAACAAUAAAGGAAUCUUUAGGACCGCUGGUUCCAUCCUGUUUCUCGUCGUGACUUUUCUUUCCUCUUUCUUAGUUCUUUUUUUUUUUUUGGGGGGGGGGGGUGUUUGGGUUUUUACUAAACAAUGAGUAGCUCUCAGCUGCUGGAGCUUUGUGGUGUUGAUUCUACUGCCUUGUGCACUGCGACCUGCUGCCUGCAUGGGCAGGAUGGAUGCUGCGAGCCGGGUGGGCUGUAUCACCCCUUGGGAUACAAGAGGAUCCCAAGGAGACUCCGAGGAGGAGUUGGGGUCGAGUCGUUUCGGUUUGCAGUUGCACACAGCAAAAAGAGCAUUGGAGGGGAGCCCGGAUGGCAACUAGGGGGUUAAUUGUUGAACUUUCAGGUAUGUUCCUCAAGAGAAAAAUAA